rfam:Erythranthe guttata cultivar DTN x IM62 scaffold_18_contig_49, whole genome shotgun sequence.
UUACUUACCUGGACGGGGUUGAUAGACGAUCAAGAAGGUCUAUAGCCUAUGCUUGCGACUUCCAUUGCACUUUGGAGGGGCGCUUGCGUAAGGUCGGCCCAAGUGGCCGAGCCUGCGUCAUAAUUUGUGUCAGAGGGGGCCUGCGUUCGCGCGGCCCCCGC